CCCGCCCCUAGAGGCAUGGCAGGUGUGGUUUCUGUGUCACAUGUGCAUCAGUAGGUGACAGAGAGGAGAGAUAUGUCUAUACUCAGUGUUCUGACCUAUGAACAUCUGAAUGAUUAGUAGUCUAAAAUU
ensembl:snoRNA LOC120097237 small nucleolar RNA SNORA17